AGCUCAUGGCCAACGUUGCAAGUUAAGCCGUGGGGGAGUGCUGCUGUCGCAGGGGACAGCGCUGGAAUCCGUAAUGAGCAGACACAUCACAAGCACAUGGCGUGGCCACAAACUUACAGACACUUGAAACUUUGUUGACAGAAGGUUUAUGCAUCUGCCUCAGAGAUCCAAUGGUUUCUGAGCUACUGCUUGAAAGAAAAUUCAUUGUUGGCAAGGAGAGAAUUCAAAGUCAGAUGACAAUUCUUCCUGUAAUUAGAAGCCUAAUAACUGGAACAAGCUUGGCAUUAUUAGCUUGACUCAACAGGCAGAUCUGAACAAAAUUAUGCCGGAAGAGUGUUCAUAAUAGACAUGAUUCGACAACUAUCGAAACUACUAAUAGCUAUUGUAAGAAUCUGAUGCUUAUUCUGGUGUUCCACAUAACCACCUUAGGGAAUGUGGAAAGCUUCAGGUGGAAAGUUCCAGCAUUAUUCAGUUCAUUUACUGAUAAAUCUGAUGGAUUUUUUAUAUUCUCCUAACACAGAGACAAAUUGACUCCUCGACAUUACCUGACCUUGUUGUCUCUUGUUUUGCAGGCAGAUCUGAACAAAAUUAUGCUGGAAAAGAGUUCAUAGUAAACAUGAUUCAACAACUAUCAAAACAAUUAAUAGCUGGUGUAAAAUCUUGAUGCUUACUCUGGCGUUCCAUGUACCCAACUUAGGGAAUGUGGAAAGUUUAAGGUGAAAAGUUUCCAGUAUUACUCAGUUCAUUUACUGAUGAAUCUGAUGGAUUCUUUAUAUUCUCCUAAUAGAAAGACAAAUGACUCCUUGACAUGAAUUGGCCUUAUGUCUCUUGUUUUGCAGGCAGAUCUGAACAUAAUUAUGCUGGAAAUAGUUCAUAGUAAACAUCAUUCAACAACAAAAUUAUCACUAGCUGGUAUGAGAAUCUGAAGCUUAUUCUGUUGUUCC